rnacentral:misc_RNA from 1 species
GGAUGUUGUAAUCAACAAGGAAGCCCGCAAUGUGGAAGCGGAGGUUAAGAAUGUUGGUGAAACAAGAUUCAAUCAAAAAACUGAUGUUGGCUCUCAACAAGAACUUCAUACUUUUGUGUCUGAUAACAAGGAGAAACCCUUCUGCUCUCAGGCAUCUGACCUUGGAAUAGAAAUGGCUCGAGAAUGUCGUGACUUAUCGCCUGAAACUUAUAUUGUCGAGGAAUCUAGGCAGUUUGAUGGGGUUUCUGGAACUGAGCAGCUGAUCCAAGCAUCAACUGCCCCUAAAGAAGACCGUGACUCUGCAAAGGAGACCUCUGGAAAUAAUUUAGACUCAAAUGUGCAAGUUUCUGCUCAUCAACCUCCAGCUUCUAGUGCCAAAGGGAAAAAGCAAAAGGCAAAGAACACUCAAGGAUUUGAACCAGCUUCACCCUCACCUGGUUCUUUCAAGUCAUCUGAUUCCAAUGAGGGUGGUAUUAGCUCAAGUAACACCUCUAUGGAAGCUGCAGUCUCACAAAUUUUGUCUAUGCGUGAGAAGCUAAAUCAGGUUCUUAAUAUGCAAAAAGAAACGCAAAAGCAGAUGAGUGUGAUGGUUGCUGCCCCAGUUACCAAAGAAGGAAGAAGACUUGAGGCUGCCUUGGGACAGAGCAUGGAGAAGGCUGUCAAGGCCAAUUAUGAUGCUUUAUGGGCCCGUUACCACGAAGAUAGUGCUAAACAAGAGAAAUUACUUCGUGAUCGUACUCAACAAAUAACCAAUUUGAUAUCUAACUGCUUUAACAAGGACAUGCCUGGGCUAAUUGAGAAAAUAAUGAAGAAAGAACUGGCAGCUGUUGGACAAGCCGUCACACGCAGUAUUGUCCCUAUCAUUGAGAAAACUGUAUCAACUGCUAUUUCAGAAUCCUUCCAGAAAGGAGUUAGUGACAAGGCAGUAAACCAACUGGAGAAAACAGUUAGCUCUAAACUUGAAGCUUCUGUUGCUAGGCAAAUUCAAGCAC